rnacentral:ncRNA from 1 species
AAAAUCGUGAAAACUCAAUAUAUUGCAGGAACUCCGUAUGCCU